rnacentral:sRNA from 1 species
AUUUUCUAUAUAUGGCGUAAUCUCGUAAGUUAAUUUUACAUCAUGCAAAUUAAUAUUAAAUGAGUUAAAGU